rnacentral:rRNA from 1 species
UACGUAGGGUGCGAGCGUUGUCCGGAAUUAUUGGGCGUAAAGAGCUCGUAGGCGGUGUGUCGCGUCGGCCGUGAAAACCUGGGGCUCAACUCUGGGCGUGCGGUCGAUACGGGCAUCACUUGAGUUCGGCAGGGGAGACUGGAAUUCCUGGUGUAGCGGUGAAAUGCGCAGAUAUCAGGAGGAACACCGGUGGCGAAGGCGGGUCUCUGGGCCGAUACUGACACUGAGGAGCGAAAGCGUGGGGAGCGAACAGG